GGGUCAGUAGGUUGGUCGUGCCACCGGUACGUACUGGUCUCACUGAUUCCUCCUUCCUGAAGAACCGUAAUGCCAUUAAUUUGGUGUUGCGGGGAAACAGGACUGUUACUUCGAAAAAAUUAGAGUAUUUAAAGCAAGCUAACGCUUGAAUACAUUAGCAUGGAAUAAUGAAAUAGGACGAUCGAUCCUAUUUUGUUGGUUUCUAGGAUUGACGUA
rnacentral:rRNA from 1 species